rnacentral:rRNA from 1 species
ACUAAGCGUACACGGUGGAUGCCCUGGCAGUCAGAGGCGAUGAAGGACGUGCUAAUCUGCGAUAAGCGCCGGUAAGGUGAUAUGAACCGUUAUAACCGGCGAUUUCCGAAUGGGGAAACCCAGUGUGAUUCGUCACACUAUCAUUAACUGAAUCCAUAGGUUAAUGAGGCGAACCGGGGGAACUGAAACAUCUAAGUACCCCGAGGAAAAGAAAUCAACCGAGAUUCCCCCAGUAGCGGCGAGCGAACGGGGAGGAGCCCAGAGCCUGAAUCAGCAUGUGUGUUAGUGGAAGCGUCUGGAAAGGCGCGCGAUACAGGGUGACAGCCCCGUACACAAAAGCGCAUGUGCUGUGAGCUCGAUGAGUAGGGCGGGACACGUGGUAUCCUGUCUGAAUAUGGGGGGACCAUCCUCCAAGGCUAAAUACUCCUGACUGACCGAUAGUGAACCAGUACCGUGAGGGAAAGGCGAAAAGAACCCCGGCGAGGGGAGUGAAAAAGAACCUGAAACCGUGUACGUACAAGCAGUGGGAGCUGAGGGAAAGGCGAAAAGAACCCCGGCGAGGGGAGUGAAAAAGAACCUGAAACCGUGUACGUACAAGCAGUGGGAGCCCCACCACUAAGCCAGUGGUGAACUCCACAUACGCAUCCUUUGCUGAGGAUACGGUUAACGGAGCGCAAGCGACGUUCAACCGCAAAAGAAGCAGAGGGGGCUUAGUGGUGGGGUGACUGCGUACCUUUUGUAUAAUGGGUCAGCGACUUAUAUUCUGUAGCAAGGUUAACCGUAUAGGGGAGCCGGAGGGAAACCGAGUCUUAAUUGGGCGUUAAGUUGCAGGGUAUAGACCCGAAACCCGGUGAUCUAGCCAUGGGCAGGUUGAAGGUUGGGUAACACUAACUGGAGGACCGAACCGACUAAUGUUGAAAAAUUAGCGGAUGACCUGUGGCUGGGGGUGAAAGGCCAAUCAAACCGGGAGAUAGCUGGUUCUCCCCGAAAGCUAUUUAGGUAGCGCCUCGUGAAUUCAUCUCCGGGGGUAGAGCACUGUUUCGGCUAGGGGGCCAUCCCGGCUUACCAACCCGAUGCAAACUGCGAAUACCGGAGAAUGUUAUCACGGGAGACACACGGCGGGUGCUAACGUCCGUCGUGAAGAGGGAAACAACCCAGACCGCCAGCUAAGGUCCCAAAGUCAUGGUUAAGUGGGAAACGAUGUGGGAAGGCCCAGACAGCCAGGAUGUUGGCUUAGAAGCAGCCAUCAUUUAAAGAAAGCGUAAUAGCUCACUGGUCGAGUCGGCCUGCGCGGAAGAUGUAACGGGGCUAAACCAUGCACCGAAGCUGCGGCAGCGAGUAAUAGCUCACUGGUCGAGUCGGCCUGCGCGGAAGAUGUAACGGGGCUAAACCAUGCACCGAAGCUGCGGCAGCGAACGUAUCACUUAAAGCGAUUCAGCGGGUUACGAUUGACGGAGCGAAGCGACGUCAAAGCGUAUACAAAGUCGAGUCGGUUUAAGGAUACGUUCGUUGGGUAGGGGAGCGUUCUGUAAGCCUGUGAAGGUGUGUCGUGAGGCAUGCUGGAGGUAUCAGAAGUGCGAAUGCUNGUUGGGUAGGGGAGCGUUCUGUAAGCCUGUGAAGGUGGCCUGUGAGGGUUGCUGGAGGUAUCAGAAGUGCGAAUGCUGACAUAAGUAACGAUAAAGCGGGUGAAAAGCCCGCUCGCCGGAAGACCAAGGGUUCCUGUCCAACGUUAAUCGGGGCAGGGUGAGUCGACCCCUAAGGCGAGGCCGAAAGGCGUAGUCGAUGGGAAACGGGUUAAUAUUCCCGUACUUGGUGUUACUGCGAAGGGGGGACGGAGAAGGCUAUGUUGGCCGGGCGACGGUUGUCCCGGUUUAAGCGUGUAGGUGUGUGUUCCAGGUAAAUCCGGUUCACUUUAACACUGAGGCGUGAUGACGAGGCACUACGGUGCUGAAGCAACAAAUGCCCUGCUUCCAGGAAAAGCCUCUAAGCAUCAGGUAACAUCAAAUCGUACCCCAAACCGACACAGGUGGUCAGGUAGAGAAUACCAAGGCGCUUGAGAGAACUCGGGUGAAGGAACUAGGCAAAAUGGUGCCGUAACUUCGGGAGAAGGCACGCUGACAUGUAGGUGAAGUGAUUUACUCAUGGAGCUGAAGUCAGUCGAAGAUACCAGCUGGCUGCAACUGUUUAUUAAAAACACAGCACUGUGCAAACACGAAAGUGGACGUAUACGGUGUGACGCCUGCCCGGUGCCGGAAGGUUAAUUGAUGGGGUCAGCGCAAGCGAAGCUCCUGAUCGAAGCCCCGGUAAACGGCGGCCGUAACUAUAACGGUCCUAAGGUAGCGAAAUUCCUUGUCGGGUAAGUUCCGACCUGCACGAAUGGCGUAAUGAUGGCCAGGCUGUCUCCACCCGAGACUCAGUGAAAUUGAACUCGCUGUGAAGAUGCAGUGUACCCGCGGCAAGACGGAAAGACCCCGUGAACCUUUACUAUAGCUUGACACUGAACAUUGAGCCUUGAUGUGUAGGAUAGGUGGGAGGCUUUGAAGCGUGGACGCCAGUCUGCGUGGAGCCGGCCUUGAAAUACCACCCUUUAAUGUUUGAUGUUCUAACGUGGACCCGUGAUCCGGGUUGCGGACAGUGUCUGGUGGGUAGUUUGACUGGGGCGGUCUCCUCCUAAAGAGUAACGGAGGAGCACGAAGGUUGGCUAAUCCUGGUCGGACAUCAGGAGGUUAGUGCAAUGGCAUAAGCCAGCUUGACUGCGAGCGUGACGGCGCGAGCAGGUGCGAAAGCAGGUCAUAGUGAUCCGGUGGUUCUGAAUGGAAGGGCCAUCGCUCAACGGAUAAAAGGUACUCCGGGGAUAACAGGCUGAUACCGCCCAAGAGUUCAUAUCGACGGCGGUGUUUGGCACCUCGAUGUCGGCUCAUCACAUCCUGGGGCUGAAGUAGGUCCCAAGGGUAUGGCUGUUCGCCAUUUAAAGUGGUACGCGAGCUGGGUUUAGAACGUCGUGAGACAGUUCGGUCCCUAUCUGCCGUGGGCGCUGGAGAACUGAGGGGGGCUGCUCCUAGUACGAGAGGACCGGAGUGGACGCAUCACUGGUGUUCGGGUUGUCAUGCCAAUGGCACUGCCCGGUAGCUAAAUGCGGAAGAGAUAAGUGCUGAAAGCAUCUAAGCACGAAACUUGCCCCGAGAUGAGUUCUCCCUGAGACUUNAGCUAAAUGCGGAAGAGAUAAGUGCUGAAAGCAUCUAAGCACGAAACUUGCCCCGAGAUGAGUUCUCCCUGAGACUUAGAGUCUCCUGAAGGAACGUU